rnacentral:rRNA from 1 species
ACCAGUGGCGAAGGUUUCUUUUUGGUCUGUAACUGACACUGACGCGCGAAAGCGUGGGGAGCAAACAGGAUUAGAUACCCUGGCAGCCCCCGCCGUAAACGAUGAGUGCUAUGUGUUAGAGGCCUUCCCGCCCUUUUAGUGCUGCAGCUAACGCAUUACCCCCUCCGCCUGGGGAGCACGGUCGCUAGACUGAAACUCAAAGGAUUUGACGGGGCCCCCCACAAGCGGUGUAUCUUGUGUUUUAUUUCGAAGCAACGCGAAAAACCUUACCAGGUCUUGACAUCCUGGGACAACUCUAGAGAUACACCGUCCCCCUCCGGGGGA